GAUGAACGCUGGCGGCGUGCCUAAUACAUGCAAGUCGAGCGAACAGACGAGGAGCUUGCUCCUCUGACGUUAGCGGCGGACGGGUGAGUAACACGUGGAUAACCUACCUAUAAGACUGGGAUAACUUCGGGAAACCGGAGCUAAUACCGGAUAAUAUAUUGAACCGCAUGGUUCAAUAGUGAAAGACGGUUUUGCUGUCACUUAUAGAUGGAUCCGCGCCGCAUUAGCUAGUUGGUAAGGUAACGGCUUACCAAGGCAACGAUGCGUAGCCGACCUGAGAGGGUGAUCGGCCACACUGGAACGGGGACACGGUCCAGACUCCUACGGGAGGCAGCAGUAGGGAAUCGUCCGCAAUGGGCGAAAGCUUGACGGAGCAACGCCGCGUGAGUGAUGAAGGUCUUCGGAUCGUAAAACUCUGUUAUUAGGGAAGAACAAAUGUGUAAGUAACUAUGCACGUCUUGACGGUACCUAAUCAGAAAGCCACGGCUAACUACGUG
rnacentral:rRNA from 1 species